rnacentral:rRNA from 1 species
GGCCUUCGGGUUGUAAAGCACUUUCAGCGAGGAGGAAGGGUUCGGUGUUAAUAGCACCGUUCAUUGACGUUACUCGCAGAAGAAGCACCGGCUAACUCCGUGCCAGCAGCCGCGGUAAUACGGAGGGUGCAAGCGUUAAUCGGAAUUACUGGGCGUAAAGCGCACGCAGGCGGUUUGUUAAGUCAGAUGUGAAAUCCCCGAGCUUAACUUGGGAACUGCAUUUGAAACUGGCAAGCUAGAGUCUUGUAGAGGGGGGUAGAAUUCCAGGUGUAGCGGUGAAAUGCGUAGAGAUCUGGAGGAAUACCGGUGGCGAAGGCGGCCCCCUGGACAAAGACUGACGCUCAGGUGCGAAAGCGUGGGGAGCAAACAGGAUUAGAUACCCUGGUAGUCCACGCUGUAAACGAUGUCGACUUGGAGGUUGUGCCCUUGAGGCGUGGCUUCCGGAGCUAACGCGUUAAGUCGACCGCCUGGGGAGUACGGCCGCAAGGUUAAAACUCAAAUGAAUUGACGGGGGCCCGCACAAGCGGUGGAGCAUGUGGUUUAAUUCGAUGCAACGCGAAGAACCUUACCUACUCUUGACAUCCACAGAACUUUCCAGAGAUGGAUUGGUGCCUUCGGGAACUGUGAGACAGGUGCUGCAUGGCUGUCGUCAGCUCGUGUUGUGAAAUGUUGGGUUAAGUCCCGCAACGAGCGCAAACCCUUAUCCUUUUGUUGCCAGCGCGUAAUGGCGGGAACUCAAAGGAGACUGCCGGUGAUAAACCGGAGGAAGGUGGGGGAUGACGUCAAGUCAUCAUGGCCCUUACGAGUAGGGCUACACACGUGCUACAAUGGCAUAUACAAAGAGAAGCGAACUCGCGAGAGCAAGCGGACCUCAUAAAGUAUGUCGUAGUCCGGAUCGGAGUCUGCAACUCGACUCCGUGAAGUCGGAAUCGCUAGUAAUCGUAGAUCAGAAUGCUACGGUGAAUACGUUCCCGGGCCUUGUACACACCGCCCGUCACACCAUGGGAGUGGGUUGCAAAAGAAGUAGGUAGCUUAACCUUCGGGAGGGCGCUUACCACUUUGUGAUUCAUGACUGGGGUGAAGUCGUAACAAGGUAACCGUAGGGGAACCUGCGGCUGGAUCACCUCCUUAAG